rnacentral:rRNA from 1 species
GGGGAAUUUUGGACAAUGGGGGCAACCCUGAUCCAGCCAUGCCGCGUGCGGGAAGAAGGCCUUCGGGUUGUAAACCGCUUUCGGCCGGAACGAAAUCGCCGGGGAGAACAUCUCCGGUGGAUGACGGUACCGGAAGAAGAAGCACCGGCUAACUACGUGCCAGCAGCCGCGGUAAUACGUAGGGUGCGAGCGUUAAUCGGAAUUACUGGGCGUAAAGCGUGCGCAGGUGGUUCGCUAGGACAGAUGUGAAAUCCCCGGGCUCAACCUGGGAACUGCGUUUGUGACUGGCGGGCUAGAGUGCGGAAGAGGGAGGUGGAAUUCCACGUGUAGCAGUGAAAUGCGUAGAGAUGUGGAGGAACACCGAUGGCGAAGGCAGCCUCCUGGUCUAGCACUGACGCUCAUGCACGAAAGCGUGGGGAGCAAAC